rnacentral:rRNA from 1 species
UACAGAGGGGGCAAGCGUUGUUCGGAAUUACUGGGCGUAAAGGGCGCGUAGGCGGCCUGUUAAGUCGAACGUGAAAUCCCCGGGCUCAACCCGGGAACUGCGUCCGAUACCUGGCAGGCUUGAAUCCGGGAGAGGGAUGCGGAAUUCCAGGUGAGCGGUGAAUGCGCAGAUAUCAGGAGGAACACCGGUGGCGAAGGCGGCCA